rnacentral:rRNA from 1 species
AUGAUCGCCGUCCAGGGCGACCCGGAGCUCAGCCGGCUGCUCGCCGGUGUCACCAUCGCCUACGGCGGCGUGGUGCCCUACAUCAACUCGGCGCUGCUCCCCAAGAAGGGCGCCGGCGCCGCCGGGAAGGAGCCCAAGAAGAAGGCCGCCGCUACCAAGUCCCCCAAGAAGACCUGUCAAGCUGCAGGAAACUGA